AUUGAACGCUGGCGGCAUGCUUUACACAUGCAAGUCGGACGGCAGCACAGAGACGCUUGCUUCUUGGGUGGCGAGUGGCGCACGGGUGAGUAACAUAUCGGAACGUACCGAGCAGUGGGGGAUAACUAAUCGAAAGAUUAGCUAAUACCGCAUAUUUUCUGAGGAAGAAAGCAGGGGACCUUUGGGCCUUGCGCUGUUUGAGCGGCCGAUAUCUGAUUAGCUAGUUGGUGGGGUAAAGGCCUACCAAGGCGACGAUCAGUAGCGGGUCUGAGAGGAUGAUCCGCCACACUGGGACUGAGACACGGCCCAGACUCCUACGGGAGGCAGCAGUGGGGAAUUUUGGACAAAGGGCGCAAGCCUGAUCCAGCCAUGCCGCGUGUCUGAAGAAGGCCUUCGGGUUGUAAAGGACUUUUGUCAGGGAAGAAAAGGGCGGGGUUAAUACCCCUGUCUGAUGACGGUACCUGAAGAAUAAGCACCGGCUAACUACGUG
rnacentral:rRNA from 1 species